ensembl:lincRNA
GGCUGGCGAGAAGAUAUCGCGGGAACGCAGCCUCGNNNNNNNNNNNNNNNNNNNNNNNNNUCUUCCGGACCCGCCCGAGCUCCAAGAGGUCCUGCGCGGCUUCUGCAUCGUCGCCGAGGAGCUGUGGCCCGCCCGGCACACGAGCGGUCGGGGCCCGGCAAGAGAACAUAUAGUCAUUUUGAACUCACUGCGCAUCCCAGACUAGCUUCCAACUCGAAACAGUUCUCCUGCCUCAGCCUCCCAAGUGCUAGGAUUACAGGUGUGUACCAUACCUGGCUGCAUCUUGAUCAGUUUUAUGCCUCUACUCCCACCCUCCCUUUCCCUCCUGCCCUAGAUCUCCUUCCCAUCUCCAGUCUACCUUGCUGUUUCUUAACGUGUCUCUUUUAUUUUGCUCUUUAAAUUACAGUGGCACCUCAGUUCAUGAAUUUAAUUUGUUCCAUGAUUCUGGGAAAGAUGACCGUGUUGAUGUUGGUCACCCAAUGCAGAGUUUGCAAACAAAAGCAAAUUUUUGCCCAUUGCUUCUGUUUAUGAACCAACUUGUUCAUGAACAGAAGUGUUGGUGAACUAAGGUAUUACUAUAUUUAUAUUUUUGGGUCUCUCAUUAGAGAGCGAUAUAUAGCUGUCUGUGUCUGAUUUAUUUCACUUAGUAUUAAGGUUUCAAAAUUUUAGCUGAGCAUGGUGGCACACACCUGUAAUCCCAGCACUUAGGAGGCUGAGGCAGGAGGAUCGCUGUGAGUUUGAGGCCAGCCUGGGCUACAUAGUGAGUUCAAGGCCAACCUGAACUACAUAGUGAGUCCCUGACUAAAAAAAAAAAAUCUGUUUUCCUACAAAUCACUCAAAUUUAUCUGCCUUUAUGACUGAAUAGUGUAUAUACACCACAUUUUCUCUACCCAUUCGUCUGUUGAUGGACAGAUAGGCUACUUCCAUGACUAAGCUCUGCUGCUAUAAAUAUGGGUAUGCACGUAUCACUGUAAUAUGUUGGCUUUAGCUCUUUUGGAAAGAUACUCAGAACAGGUAUUAGCUGAAUUAACUGGAAUUUAUAUUUUUAGUUUUGUGAGGAAUCUCCAGUGGGUGUAUUCUUGGUACAUAUGCUAUUGAUUUUUGUGUGUUUGUUUUCUGUCCUACCCCUGUGCUGCUUUUAUUAGUUUUGGGAGUCUUCUGUUAGAAUUUUUUGGAUACGCCUUAACAAAAAGAUCGUGCUAUGUGCAAAUAAGGAUAGUUUGACUUUUUUCCUUUCCCGUUUAAGUCUCUUUUCUUUCUCUUGCCUGUUUGCUCUGGCUAAAGUUUCAGGCAUAUUGAACAGGAGUGGCACCAGCAGACAUGCUUGUCUUGUUGCUGACUUCAGAGGAAAAGGCUCCAGUUUCCCCCACUUAGUUCAGUGUUGGUAGUGGGUUUGUCAUAAAUGGCUUUUAUGGGUUUAAGGUAAGGUCCCUCUAUACCUGUUUUAAUCGGGGUUUUACCCUGAAUGGUGUUAUACCUCUGAAGGUACCUUACAAACCCUGGGGCUGCUGAUAAGAUUUUCUCCAUCUUAAAUUGUAAACAGCCUGACUUAGAUGUACCUCAGUAUAGCUUUCUUUGUACUUCUCAUGCUUGAGAUUUUCAGAAUGUAUUAAAUUCUGUGGGUGACAUCUGCUAUUAGCUUUGGCAACUUCUUAGUUGUCAUUUCAUCAAUGCCAGCAUUUCUCCAUUUUUAUUCCGGGAGGCCCAAUUUUUUUUUUUUUUAAUUUUGUUUAGGUACCGGGGAUCAAACUCAGGACCUUGUGCCAGGUGGCGGAACCACUGAGCUAAAUCCCCAGCGCUUCAAUUUUACACACGAUAGAUCUUUUGAGUGUAUAUCAUAGGUCUCCAAUAGAGAUUUUUUUUUUUUUUUUNNNNNNNNNNNNNNNNNNNNNNNNNNNNNNNNNNNNNNNNNNNNNNNNNNNNNNNNNNNNNNNNNNNNNNNNNNNNNNNNNNNNNNNNNNNNNNNNNNNNNNCUUCAGUUUGGGUAAUUUUUUUUCCUUCUCUCUCUCUUAAUUUUUUUUUUUUUUUUGUACCGGGAUCGAACUCAGGACCUUGUGCUUGUAAGGCAGAUGGCGGCUCUGGAUAAUUUACUUUUACCUGCCUUUAAACUCACCAAUCUCUGUAUCAUUCUUUUUUUUUUCCCUGAAACAGUCUCGAUAUAUAGUGUAGGCUGGCCUUGAACUCGUGGCAAUCAUCCUGCCUCGGUCUCCUGAGUGCUGGGACUGUAGGUUUGCACUACCAUGCCUGGUCUGGCAGUAAUUCUAAGAAGAGGACUUGGAAACAGGACUGAAAUUGUAAAGCACCUUUAAGGUAAAGAGAAAUGACCACUGCUUAACAACUGGUAUUCAAAGCAAGAUCCAAACGUAUAGUUAGCCACUUGGGUGUGCAGCUUGCUUGUAUGUAACGAUGCCAAGUUUGUGCAUACAUUAUUCUUUACUGCAUUAUAGUUAUUUCCAAAUCUUUUCUCCUUCCUUAAUCCCAGUUAAAGGGUCCCAUUUAGGAGUUGUAGAAGUACUUUAGUCCAUUUGUAACGUCCUAAUUGUCCUAAUUAUCAUAAUAUCCUAAAUCCUCCCA